UCUCUGGGACUCCGUCCUCCUACAGAACGAUAGGGGCAGACAGGUUAUUUGUCGAGGGACACACACAUCUUUUAAGAGAUGAGUCAGUCGUCGUCACCUACGUUAUGACUGUUGAAAGAAUGAUGAAAUGAAUAAAAUGAAUGAAUGGCUCCCGAAACUACCACUGAGGAGUUCCCGACCGUCGCUAAGUGACGUGAGACUUGUGAAGAACUCAAGCAUCCUACAAACAUUUAAUCUGAAUUUAAUGUGACAAGGGAUGUGACAGAUGGAUGUACGGAGCGAUGUGGGAAUACAUAAUGGGACGCGGAGUCCAUCAUGAGUUCAGAGAAAAGCUUCUGGACAUUGGAAUUGAGUCCUGAAGAAUGAGUUAGCAUCUGCGAGUGGUUAAAGGAAAAAAAGGUGCUGUGCAGAAGAAAAUGAGUGUAAGAAACGAUGUAUGUGGGAACCCUAAGUAAUUCAGUGCCCCUACACUGUCAAUCUAGGGCUGCAAACUCAAAUGUCUGCAUUAAAGGAAGCAACUAGGAAAAUCAACGCCCAGGAGAGCUGGGGCUGUUGAAAACUGCAGGAGGUAUUUCUGCUGAAAGUAGGGCCGACCCUAUUCAGCCAGCUCUUGUCAUUCCAGUUGAAGAGAGGCCAUUUGACAUUCUAGAGGUGGCAGCAUGCAAACAUUUAAAACCGUUGAGAGAAUACAGCACACCAGGGAGACUAUUAUUAUGACUAUCAGGAGGAUAAUACCAAGAGUUGAGACACCAGCGUCUGGUAGAAGGAAGACGAGCUGGGCGAUGGCCGCUAACCCUACCACCCCUCAUUGCCGGACUCCCCUCACCUUCUG
rnacentral:lncRNA from 1 species